UACGUAGGGUGCAAGCGUUUAAUCGGAAUUACUGGGCGUAAAGCGUGCGCAGGCGGCCAUGCAAGACAGAUGUGAAAUCCCCGGGCUCAACCUGGGAACUGCAUUUGUGACUGCAUGGCUAGAGUACGGCAGAGGGGGAUGGAAUUCCGCGUGAGCAGUGAAAUGCGUAGAUAUCUGGAGGAAUACCGGUGGCGAAGGCGGCAUCCUGGACCAUUACUGACGUGAGGCGCGAAAGCUAGGGGAGCAAACGGG
rnacentral:rRNA from 1 species